GGUUUAUAAUUUUGUUUCGUUAGUUUUUUAUUCAUAUUGUGAUAUUUUAUUAUUUUUUUAAUUGAUUUUCAAAAAAAUAUUAUAAUUGUUUUUUCUUUAAUUAUUAUCUUUCAAUACUCAAAUUUGGAUUAAAAGCAUUUGAUUCAAUUUAUGAAAUAUCAUUUUUUUUCUUUUUGAUCAUGUUAUAAACUAAUAUUUCACUUUCAUUUUAUUUUUCCUCUUUAUAAUUUUAUAUAUACAAUUACAUAAA
rnacentral:lncRNA from 1 species